AUUGAACGCUAGCGGCAGGCCUAACACAUGCAAGUCGAACGAGUGGCGGACGGGUGAGUAAUGUCUGGGAAACUGCCUGAUGGAGGGGGAUAACUACUGGCAACGGUGGCUAAUACCGAAUACCAUAGGAGGUGCCCAUAUGGGAUUAGCUGGUUGGUGGGGUAAAGGCUCACCAAGGCGACGCUCCCUAGCUGGUCUGAGAGGAGGACCAGCCAAACUGGAACUGAGACACGGCCCAGACUCCUACGGGAGGCAGCAGUGGGGAAUAUUGCACAAUGGGCGCAAGCCUGAUGCAGCCAUGCCGCGUGUAUUAAGAAGGCCCUCGGGUUGUAAAGUACUUUCAGCGGGGAGGCGUUACCCACAGAAGAAGCACCGGCUAACUCCGUGCCAGCAGCCGCGGUAAUAC
rnacentral:rRNA from 1 species